GACGAACGCUGGCGGCGUGCCUAACACAUGCAAGUCGAACGGAAAGGCCCUGCUCUUGUGGGUCGCUCGUGUGGCGAACGGGUGAGUAUAACGUGUGUAAAACGUCCCUGACUUUGGGAUAACAUCAGGAAAAAGGGGCUAAUAUACGAUAGGAGCUCUUGCAGCAUGGUGGGCGUUGGUAAGAUCCGGCGGUUGUGGAUGGACUGGAGGGUUAUCAGCUUGUUGGUGGGGUAGUGGCUUACCAAGGCUAUGAAGGGUAGCCGACCUGGGAGGGCGGCCGGCCACAUUAGGACUGCGAUACGGACCAGACUCCAACGGGAGGCAACGGUGGAGAGUAUUACACAAUGAGCGGAAGCCAGAUGCGGCAACGCCGCGUGCGGGAUGACGGCCUUCGAGUUGUGAACCACUGUCGCCUGUAACGAGGCGUGAGUGACGGUAAUGGGUCAAGAAGCACCGGCUAACUACGUG
rnacentral:rRNA from 1 species